AUUGAACGCUGGCGGCAGGCCUAACACAUGCAAGUCGAGCGGAUGAAGGGAGCUUGCUCCUGGAUUCAGCGGCGGACGGGUGAGUAAUGCCUAGGAAUCUGCCUGGUAGUGGGGGAUAACGUCCGGAAACGGGCGCUAAUACCGCAUACGUCCUGAGGGAGAAAGUGGGGGAUCUUCGGACCUCACGCUAUCAGAUGAGCCUAGGUCGGAUUAGCUAGUUGGUGGGGUAAAGGCCUACCAAGGCGACGAUCCGUAACUGGUCUGAGAGGAUGAUCAGUCAAAUGGGAACGGAACCAGGGCCCAGACUCCUCCGGGAGGCGGCAGGGGGGAAUUUUGGACAAGGGGGAAAAGCUUAACCCAGCCAUGCCGCGUGUGUAAAGAAGUUUUUGGGUUUGAAAAGCUUUUUAAUUGGGGAGAAAGGAUAUUAAGUUAAUACCUUGCUGUUUGGACGUUACCAAAAAAAAAAGCCCCGGCUACCUUCGUG
rnacentral:rRNA from 1 species